GCCAUUGAUGCUGAUCAAUUUUCAAUCGCAGGCCUGCAAAGGCCAAAAGCAAGUGGUUGGUCAAUAACAAUGGGCUCGCCUAGCUUCAACCUCUGCGUGACGACCACCCUUUUGCUCCUCCCCUUCCUGAUUAGCUUCCUUACCCAAACCGGAACUGAAGCUGCUGCAACUUACGUCUACCAUGUCUGCCCAAACACAACCACUUUCACCGCCAACAGCACCUACCAAUCCAACCUCAAUAGCCUCCUUGCUUCGCUCACCUCCAACGCCACAAGCAGCACGGGGUUCUACAACACCACCGCGUCGGCCGGGAACUCCGUCGACACGGUCUAUGGCCUCUUCCUCUGCCGGGGCGAUCUCUCCGCCGACGCCUGCCGAGACUGCGCUGCCGACGCAACCAAAGACGUGGUCGAUCGCUGCCCCAAUGAGAAAGUGGCCGUCGCUUGGUACGACGAGUGCAUGUUACGGUACUCAAAUCAGUAUAUCUUCUCCCGAAUGGUCACCGACCCUAACGUUAUCCUGUCGAACACAUAGAAUAUAUCGGAGCAAAACCGGUUUGACCUGCUUGUGAAGACAACGAUGAACGACUUGGCAAGUGGGGUUUCAAAUGUUGGGUCUGGGGCCAAGAAGUUUGGGACGAAAGAAGCCAAUUUCACAGCGUUGCAAACGCUGUACACCCUUGCCCAAUGCACGGCGGACCUGUCGGGUUCCGAUUGCAAUAGCUGCCUCCAGAUAGCGAUAGCAAAUCUGCCGGGUUGUUGUGGGGGAAAGCAAGGGGCCAGAGUUCUGUUUCCUAGUUGUACCGUUAGGUUUGAAGUUUACCCGUUUUACCUGUCAGUAGCAAAUUUUCCUCCACCUCCUGGAUCGGUGGUAGCGCCUGUUCCUCCACCUCCUGGAUCAGUAACAACACCCAAAGGAAAAGAUCAAAUCUCAACGCUGACAAUUAUUGCCAUUGUCGUUCCGAUUUCUGUCGCUGUUGUUCUAUUCGUGAUGGGAUACUACUUCCCUAGUAGGAGAGCAAGAAAAAAGCACAAUGCUGUACGGGAAGAAAAUGCUGCUAAUGAUAUUACAACUGUAGAGACUGUAGAGUCCUUGCAAUUUGAUCUUGCUACAAUUGAAACUGCCACCAACAUGUUUU